CUGCCGUCCAAUUCUCCCGUUUUAAAUUGUUCAGUCUCUUUUAUCAUCCUCUCCCCUGAUUUUUCCUGCCAAAUCCGCGAAGGCUACGUGGAUCGAGGAAAUGUCGCUGUUUUCAGGCUCUCCGUUGAGAAAUCUCAGAGAGUUUUCAGCUGUGGCCACAUUCGAUUGGUCGAAGUGCUUGUGAAGUUGUGGUUGGAUGGAGAUCGAAGUUGCACUGCUUGCAAGAGAAGACCCAGUUUUGCCCUUUCUGUUGGCACUCAUCGCAUACAUAAGCCUUAGCCAUGUCCAACUCAAGCUCAUGCUCAUGACGGUGAUCUCUCACUCGUUGCAGAAGAUUACCUCCUUGUCUCCUGGCAUCAUCCAUACCCUCCAGUUCACUUCUCCUCUUUGCACCAAAGGGGUAGGCAUCUACUCCAUACUCCUCAACCAGCUUCACUGCAUCCUCUUCGACUCGAAAUCCAUGAGAUAGCGUUGUUGACAGAGGAAUCAAUGCUGGGAUAUGCUCAA